UGAAUCUGUCCUGAUUGACUGAGCGAACACUCCUAUAUAACAUCUCUUCACUGCACAGAUAAUAGAUCAUAUGGUCCACAACAUAUAUAUGUAUAACAUCUCUUUACUGCACAGAUAAUAGAUCAUAUGGUCCAUAACAUAUACAUGUAUAACAUAUCUUUACUGCACAGAUAAUAGAUCAUAUGGUCCAUAACAUAUACACGUAUAACAUAUCUUUACUGCACAGAUAAUAGAUCAUAUGGUCCACAACAUAUACAUGUAUACAUCUCAAAAUAAAUUAAAACACUUGCAGUAAUAAUUAUUUUUGUUCAGCAUUGGAAUGGAUAUUCACUUCACAGGGAAUCAUCAAGUAACAAGUGCAAAAAUAAACAAUUGAAUAAAUAAAAACAUUAGCUAACAACACAUACAUUGAAAUUAACUGAUACAAUGACGAAUAAUAGCUUAUCGUUGAGGAGGCAUGAAGGUUUACCCUUCAAAGCUGGGAAUGUCCGUUUUCCUUUAUACUUGACAUAAAGCAUAAUUCCAAGGAAUAUAGAGUCACGGUAACACUGUUUCAUGUCACAAACAUAUACUUCUGAUGAGUAGCGUAGUCUACACAAAAUAACAGUAUUAUUUACCACAGUAUGACAAUCUGCUUGACAAAUGUUUCCAAUACCUUUUCACACUGCUGAACAAACCAAGCUGAUCUGGUUACUCAUUAACCAUAGAUGCUGGAACCGUGUUUGUAUCGGUCCCUACCCAAAUAAACCAUCAAAUAAAACAUAUCUGAGCUAGUACAGCACAUUUUUGGUCGCUAUUAUAGUGUGAAAAGGGUAUAACUAUGUGGAGAGGAGGAACGUUAGUAUUCCGUAACAAGAGAAGUGUUUCAGACUAAAACAACAACACAAGCUGAUUCAUAACGAGGUCCAAGUUAGUACUAUACAACAGGGAGGUCCAAGUUAGUUAGUACUAUACAACAGGGAGGUCCAAGUCAGUUAGUACUAUACAACAGGGAGGUCCAAGUCAGUUAGUACUAUACAACAGGGAGGUCCAAGUCAGUUAGUACUAUACAACAGGGAGGUCCAAGUUAGUUAGUACUAUACAACAGGGAGGUCCAAGUUAGUUAGUACUAUACAACAGGGAGGUCCAAGUUAGUUAGUACUAUACAACAGGGAGGUCCAAGUCAGUUAGUACUAUACAACAGGGAGGUCCAAGUUAGUUAGUACUAUACAACAGGGAGGUCCAAGUUAGUUAGUACUAUACAACAGGGAGGUCCAAGUUAGUUAGUACUAUCCAACAGGGAGGUCCAAGUUAGUUAGUACUAUCCAACAGGGAGGUCCAAGUUAGUUA
rnacentral:lncRNA from 1 species